AAGGUAGCAUAAUCAUUAGUUUUUUAAUUGAAAGCUUGAAUGAAGGGUUGGAUGAAAAAAUAGCUGUCUCUAUCUAAAUUUAUUAGAAUUUUAUUUUUAAGUAAAAAAGCUUAAAUGAAUAUUGAAGACGAGAAGACCCUAUAGAGUUUUAUAUUUUUAAUUAUUAAAUAUUUUAGUAUUGUAAAAGUUAAUAAUUAAAUUUAUUUAGUUGGGGUGAUUGGAAAAUUUAAUUAACUUUUUCUUUAUUUAAACAUUGAUUUGUGAAUAAUUGAUCCUUAUAUGAAGAUUAUAAGACAAAAUUAC
rnacentral:rRNA from 1 species